AGUGAACGCUGGCGGUAGGCCUAACACAUGCAAGUCGAACGAGUGGCGGACGGGUGAGGAAUGUAUGGGAAACUGCUCUAUGGUGGGGGAUAACUACGGGAAACGUUAGCUAAUACCGCAUACGAUUGAAUGAGCCGAUGUGGGAUUAGCUAGUUGGUGGGGUAACGGCCCACCAAGGCGACGAUCCGUAGCAGGCCUGAGAGGAUGAUCGGCCACACUGGGACUGAGACACGGUCCAGACUCCUACGGGAGGCAGCAGUGGGGAAUAUUGGACAAUGGGCGAAAGCCUGACCCAGCCAUACCGCGUGAGUGAAGAAGGCCUUCGGGUUGUAAAGCCCUUUUGUUAGGAAAGCGGUACCUAAACAGUAAGCACCGGCUAACUACGUGCCAGCAGCCGCGGUAAUAC
rnacentral:rRNA from 1 species